GGGUUGUGAGGUUAAGCGACUAAGCGUACACGGUGGAUGCCUAGGCAGUCAGAGGCGAUGAAGGGCGUGCUAAUCUGCGAAAAGCGUCGGUAAGCUGAUAUGAAGCGUUAUAACCGACGAUACCCGAAUGGGGAAACCCAGUGCAAUACGUUGCACUAUCGUUAGAUGAAUACAUAGUCUAACGAGGCGAACCGGGGGAACUGAAACAUCUAAGUACCCCGAGGAAAAGAAAUCAACCGAGAUUCCCCCAGUAGCGGCGAGCGAACGGGGAGGAGCCCAGAGUCUGAAUCAGUUUGUGUGUUAGUGGAAGCGUCUGGAAAGUCGCACGGUACAGGGUGAUAGUCCCGUACACCAAAAUGCACAGGCUGUGAACUCGAUGAGUAGGGCGGGACACGUGACAUCCUGUCUGAAUAUGGGGGGACCAUCCUCCAAGGCUAAAUACUCCUGACUGACCGAUAGUGAACCAGUACCGUGAGGGAAAGGCGAAAAGAACCCCGGCGAGGGGAGUGAAAUAGAACCUGAAACCGUGUACGUACAAGCAGUGGGAGCACCUUCGUGGUGUGACUGCGUACCUUUUGUAUAAUGGGUCAGCGACUUAUAUUUUGUAGCAAGGUUAACCGAAUAGGGGAGCCGUAGGGAAACCGAGUCUUAACUGGGCGUCUAGUUGCAAGGUAUAGACCCGAAACCCGGUGAUCUAGCCAUGGGCAGGUUGAAGGUUGGGUAACACUAACUGGAGGACCGAACCGACUAAUGUUGAAAAAUUAGCGGAUGACUUGUGGCUGGGGGUGAAAGGCCAAUCAAACCGGGAGAUAGCUGGUUCUCCCCGAAAGCUAUUUAGGUAGCGCCUCGUGAACUCAUCUUCGGGGGUAGAGCACUGUUUCGGCUAGGGGGCCAUCCCGGCUUACCAAACCGAUGCAAACUCCGAAUACCGAAGAAUGUUAUCACGGGAGACACACGGCGGGUGCUAACGUCCGUCGUGAAGAGGGAAACAACCCAGACCGCCAGCUAAGGUCCCAAAGUCAUGGUUAAGUGGGAAACGAUGUGGGAAGGCACAGACAGCCAGGAUGUUGGCUUAGAAGCAGCCAUCAUUUAAAGAAAGCGUAAUAGCUCACUGGUCGAGUCGGCCUGCGCGGAAGAUGUAACGGGGCUAAACCAUGCACCGAAGCUGCGGCAGCGACACUUAGGUGUUGUUGGGUAGGGGAGCGUUCUGUAAGCCGUUGAAGGUGACCUGUGAGGGUUGCUGGAGGUAUCAGAAGUGCGAAUGCUGACAUAAGUAACGAUAAUGCGGGUGAAAAACCCGCACGCCGGAAGACCAAGGGUUCCUGUCCAACGUUAAUCGGGGCAGGGUGAGUCGACCCCUAAGGCGAGGCUGAAAAGCGUAGUCGAUGGGAAACAGGUUAAUAUUCCUGUACUUGGUGUUACUGCGAAGGGGGGACGGAGAAGGCUAGGCUGGCCGGGCGACGGUUGUCCCGGUUUAAGCGUGUAGGGGGAGUGACCAGGUAAAUCCGGUUGCUUAUCAACCCUGAGGCGUGAUGACGAUGCACCACGGUGCAGAAGCAGUUGAUGCCAUGCUUCCAGGAAAAGCCUCUAAGCAUCAGGUAACAUUAAAUCGUACCCCAAACCGACACAGGUGGUCAGGUAGAGAAUACUCAGGCGCUUGAGAGAACUCGGGUGAAGGAACUAGGCAAAAUGGUGCCGUAACUUCGGGAGAAGGCACGCUGGCGUUAGGUGAAAGGACUAGCUCCUGGAGCUGAAGCCAGUCGCAGAUACCAGCUGGCUGCAACUGUUUAAUAAAAACACAGCACUGUGCAAACACGAAAGUGGACGUAUACGGUGUGACGCCUGCCCGGUGCUGGAAGGUUAAUUGAUGGGGUCAGCCGCAAGGCGAAGCUCUUGAUCGAAGCCCCAGUAAACGGCGGCCGUAACUAUAACGGUCCUAAGGUAGCGAAAUUCCUUGUCGGGUAAGUUCCGACCUGCACGAAUGGCGUAAUGAUGGCCAGGCUGUCUCCACCCGAGACUCAGUGAAAUUGAACUCGCUGUGAAGAUGCAGUGUACCCGCGGCAAGACGGAAAGACCCCGUGAACCUUUACUAUAGCUUGACACUGAACAUUGAGCCUUGAUGUGUAGGAUAGGUGGGAGGCCUUGAAGUGUGGACGCCAGUCUGCAUGGAGCCAACCUUGAAAUACCACCCUUUAAUGUUUGAUGUUCUAACUCGGCCCCAUGAUCUGGGGUGAGGACAGUGUCUGGUGGGUAGUUUGACUGGGGCGGUCUCCUCCCAAAGAGUAACGGAGGAGCACGAAGGUUAGCUAAUCACGGUCGGACAUCGUGAGGUUAGUGCAAAGGCAUAAGCUAGCUUGACUGCGAGAGUGACGGCUCGAGCAGGUACGAAAGUAGGUCUUAGUGAUCCGGUGGUUCUGAAUGGAAGGGCCAUCGCUCAACGGAUAAAAGGUACUCCGGGGAUAACAGGCUGAUACCGCCCAAGAGUUCAUAUCGACGGCGGUGUUUGGCACCUCGAUGUCGGCUCAUCACAUCCUGGGGCUGAAGUAGGUCCCAAGGGUAUGGCUGUUCGCCAUUUAAAGUGGUACGCGAGCUGGGUUUAGAACGUCGUGAGACAGUUCGGUCCCUAUCUGCCGUGGGCGUUGGAAGAUUGAGAGGGGCUGCUCCUAGUACGAGAGGACCGGAGUGGACGAAUCACUGGUGUUCGGGUUGUCAUGCCAAUGGCAUUGCCCGGUAGCUAAAUUCGGAAGAGAUAACCGCUGAAAGCAUCUAAGCGGGAAACUUGCCUCGAGAUGAGUCUUCCCUGGGGCUUAAAGCCCCUGAAGGAACGUUAAAGACUAUGACGUUGAUAGGCUGGGUGUGUAAGUGCAGCGAUGUAUUGAGCUAACCAGUACUAAUGAUCCGUGAGGCUUAACCUUACAACACCGAAGGUGUUU
rnacentral:rRNA from 2 species